rnacentral:rRNA from 1 species
UACGUAGGGUGCAAGCGUUAAUCGGAAUUACUGGGCGUAAAGCGUGCGCAGGCGGUCUUGUAAGACAGGUGUGAAAUCCCCGGGCUUAACCUGGGAACUGCACUUGUGACUGCAAGGCUGGAGUACGGCAGAGGGGGAUGGAAUUCCGCGUGUAGCAGUGAAAUGCGUAGAGAUGUGGAAGAACACCGAUGGCGAAGGCAGCCCCCUGGGAUGAGACUGACGCUCAUGUACGAAAGCGUGGGGAGCAAACAGG